CAUCUCUCUGAAGGAUCCCAGUCUUUCCUCUACUCAGUCAGAGAAGCUGUAACUUCUGAGCUGCGGAAACGUUACUGCUUGAGAGCACACAUGGAACUACAACUACAACUGCCAGUACAUCACAGCUCUGGAAAUUGCAAAGUGGCCCAUUCCCAAGAACCUCACCACUCCACUGAGAAGCCUGUCAUCCACUGCCAUAAAUGUGAGGAGCCGUGUAAAGGCGAAGUGCUCCGUGUCCAGUCCAAGCACUUUCACAUCAAAUGCUUCACCUGCAAAGUGUGUGGCUGUGACCUGGCCCAAGGAGGUUUUUUCAUUAAGAACGGGGAAUACCUCUGCUCUGUGGAUUACCAGCGCAUGUAUGGAACCCGCUGCAAUGGCUGUGGGGAAUUCGUGGAAGGAGAAGUAGUGACAGCUCUGGGAAAAACCUACCAUCCGAACUGCUUUGCCUGCACUGUUUGCAAACGCCCGUUUCCACCAGGAGACCGGGUUACCUUCAAUGGAAGGGAUUGUCUCUGUCAAAUGUGUGCUCAGCCAAUGGCAUCCAGUCCAAAAGAGAUCUCCAGCUCAAGCAAUUGUGCUGGCUGUGGAAGAGAUAUAAAAAAUGGCCAAGCGCUACUAGCACUGGAUAAGCAGUGGCACCUGGGAUGCUUUAAGUGCAAGGCAUGUGGCAAGGUCCUGACUGGGGAAUACAUCAGCAAGGAUGGUGCCCCUUAUUGUGAAAAGGACUACCAGGUUCUCUUUGGGGUCAAAUGUGAAGCAUGUCACCAGUUCAUCACCGGGAAGGUCCUAGAGGCAGGUGACAAGCAUUAUCAUCCGAGCUGUGCACGAUGCAGCAGAUGCAACCAAAUGUUCACGGAAGGAGAAGAAAUGUACCUGCAAGGGUCCACUGUAUGGCAUCCAGACUGUAAGCAGUCCACUAAGGCAGAAGAAAAGCUCCGGCAUUCCUCAUCUGAUUUCUUUUAUCCAAAGAGUCUGGUUCUGCGCAGACCACGCUCUACAGAGCUGUUCUCACCGCCUUGCAUAAUGAACUCAAUCAAAAAACUAAGGCAGCCUACAAGGACAUCAUCUGAAAGUAUUUAUUCCAGACCAGGUUCCAGUAUUCCUGGCUCACCAGGACAUACUAUCUAUGCAAAAGUAGACAAUGAGAUCCUUGAUUACAAGGAUUUAGCAGCUAUUCCCAAAGUCAAGGCCAUUUAUGACAUUGAACGUCCAGACCUAAUUACUUAUGAGCCAUUCUACACUUCCGCCUACGAGGAGAGACAGGAGAGACAGAGUCUUGGAGAGUCUCCAAGGACACUGUCUCCCACCCCGUCUGCAGAAGGUUAUCAGGAUGUUCGGGAUCGCAUGAUUCACAGGUCAACCAGUCAGGGCUCUAUUAGUUCUCCAGUGUAUAGUCGACACAGCUACACUCCCACAAUGUCACGCUCCCCUCAGCAUUUCCACAGACCUGGCAAUGAGCCGUCCAGCGGUCGGAACUCCCCUGUCCCUUAUCGGCCAGACAGCCGCCCUCUAACUCCAACUUACGUUCAGGCCCCUAAACAUUUCCAUGUUCCAGAUCAAGGCAUCAACAUUUACAGGAAACCUCCCAUCUAUAAACAACAUGAUGCAACUGCUUUGGCAGCACAGAGCAAGUCCUCCGAGGAUAUCAUCAAGUCCUCCAAGUUCCCAGCAGCCCAUGCUCCAGCACCCAACGAGAUACCAAAGAUUGAGACAGACCACUGGCCAGGUCCUCCCUCACUUGCGGCUGUAGCAGGAGCCGACAUGAGACGCAGAUCAAGUGGCAGAGAGGAAGAAGAUGAAGAGCUCCAGAGACGUCGGCAGCUACAGGAGGAGCAGCUCAUGAAGCUUAACUCAGGUCUGGGGCAACUGAUAUUAAAAGAAGAAAUGGAAAAGGAGACUCGCGAUAGGCCACCUCUUUCAGCCAGUCGUUACGAUUCUCCAAUUAAUUCAUCCUCACAAGCCUCGGCCUCUAAAACCUCCUCCCUCCCUGGCUAUGGAAGAAAUGGACUGCACAGGGUAAGCUGGCAGCAGUGUGGAGAAGCAGAAGGUGGAGUUAAUGUUCAGUCUGGCCGGUGUCUACAGACUUUGGUCAGUACAAUAGUUAUGGGGAUGUGAGCGGUGAUGUUCGAGAUUUCCAGGUAGAGUACGGGUUUUCAUCCAUCAACUGACAGCAGAGAUAAAAACAUCCACUCUGUUAUUCAAGUCUGAAUUACUGCUACAGGGAAGGGUUUUUUUAAGACCUUUGUUUCAGUUUAUCUGCAUGUUUAAGCAUAAUCAACGAUGUAGACUUGUAUCAACAAGGGUCAGGUACAGCUAAGAUGCUUCCUGGUACAGCCCCAGAACUGUAUGAGUGAGGAGGCCCAACAGUUUUGUGACCUGCUUUGUAAAGCUAAUUGAUGUUGAAAUGAAAAUUAUCUGUAGUGGUUCCUUCUUGGCAUCUGAGCAUGGGUUCUCUCUCCCCAUGUCUUGUCCCAACCAAGGGUGGUCUAGACACAUUCCUCUUCCUUCUGGGGGCCCCCGUCUUCCAUACUAUGAGCCUCAAACUCUCCCUUUUUGUCUGUGGCUGUGAACAUGGAAUUCACCCUCCAGCUGAGAUGGUUGGCCAGUGGCCUCCUGUGAUGCUGUCACCAUAGAUCUUCCAGCAGUAGAUGCUCUUGCAAGUGCCAGCCACUCCUCUCCAGAUCCCCAUGACAACUUUUUGCCAUUGCAUAUCUUAAUGAAUGUUCACAAUAAUAUGUAUUUGUACAGCACCUAGCACAAUGAAGCCCGAAAAUGGUUGGCCUGUCGGCGCUAUUGCAAUAUAAAUGCUAGAUAAUGAUUAUAAUUUAAAUACUUGGGCAAAUUGAUUAUGUACCGUAUCAAAGACUGAUCUGCAGUGAGAGGAUAACAGAUUACAAUAUAUAUUUAUGUCGUGCCAUGCAUUAUGCUUAAAGUGUGGUUAUGCUAUGAACAGUAACUAUGUAAAAAUGGCACCUUCUUAACCAAGAGCUGCCUCUUGUGUGCAUUCCCAGUAAAAUCUGCCUAUUGUGACAAAAAUAAGUUGAUACGACUUUUUCACCUGCUAUCACUGUAGAGCCAAUACACCUAGCAGAGUGUAAGCUGGAUCUAUUCAUGCUGGUACAUGUUCAGCAGAAUUGUUCAUUAAAUGCAGGAUUUAACUCCCGCUUGAGGUCAAAGAAUCUUUUUCCAUUGACUUCAAUGGGAGUUGCCCUAAGUUUCAGUCAGUUGUCCCUGUGCAAAAGGCAUUAGGUUUUCCGAGGUGUCAGUGAAGAUAAAAUGGAAAAGUAGGAUGCACAGGUGUAACAGAGUCUUUGUAACAGGACCUGUAAAGCCUUUAUUACUGAUGAUGUGUGAAAUGGAAAGAACCCAGACUGACUGUCACAGUUUGCAGUUAGAAAUGACACCAUUUUACUUGUCAACUGAGCAUAUCGGAUAUAACUGAGUGCCGUUUGUUAUGAGAAAAAGGACUUCUGCAGAAUUUCAUGGUACCAUUUUUGCAGUCACUUUUUCCAGAGUAUAGCCACACUCUAACGCUAUCCAGGUGAUAAAGGGACAGUUGCAAGGGGCAGCGCGGCCCAGUGGUUAAUAAUGCCCUGACACAUUGUCAUGUGGGAUCUGAGUUGAGGUUCCAAGCUGCAAGCCCACAGAGAAAGCCAUUGGGACAGGAAAGGUGUGGCCACUCUGUAGUAACCCCCUGGUGGAUUGGGAGUGGUAUGGAUGGGUUCCACAGUUCCAGGCCUACUGAGCAGAGAGCAGAUCAGAGCCUUUGAGGGAGCUGGGAUCCAGAGCUCACCUUAGAAAAGUAAUAAGCUGGAGCGUUGACAGUGUUCCUUAUGGUAAGAUUAAUUGUUAAGAUCUGAGGAAAGUCUGAGCAUAAACUCACCUCUGUUUUCACCAUUACAUGAGUACCUUUACCCUGUGUGUGUGUAUGUGUAACCUGUGUGUCUGACGUAUACCUGUAUCCGAUGCAGUCCCUCCCGGAUGGUCAUGUCCCCGGAAUGAGAAUGGACAGAGGAGUGUCUAUGCCUAACAUGUUGGAACCAAAGGCAAGUGCAGCUGUUAUUCACUUUCCUUCGAGAUAGUGAAGGUUUGACUAUGUACUGCCGAUGAGAUACUAUAGGAAAUGUCUUGAGUCCCUGUUGUUUCUCUUUACCUCAUCCCAAUCAUUGCUCCUUAUGUGCCAAAUCUCUCCCUCUGUGCUGGCCCCCACCUCGCAUGGGUGCGCCUCCUGUCUGCUCCAGGGGUGGGACAAGAGCAGCCCCUAGGAGGGAUUUCAGGGGGCAACACUGAGAGGCUGAAAGCGCCUGAGUGAUGCCCAAUGCAGCUAAUUCCCCAUCCAGCUGUGAAGCUGCCACAUUCAAAGACCCAAAACAGCAGGAACCCACAGUGCUUAAACCUGGAUAGACGCAUAACUCAGGAACAGGCGCGUUUAGCUGCAGUGAGGCCGGGUUAGUUACAGAGUGUUAGUGGAAAGGGAAGGGCUUAAUUCUCACACUAGGGCCUCUUUAUACCACUCCAGCUGUGGAAAGAGGCCUUAGUAUAACUGAGCAUCAGAUCCUAAAAAUUAAAUAAGGUUUGAUACCCAAGUUGCUGGAGCAGGAAGAGGAGUCAUUUAUACACAGGCAUUGUCCAACGUACCCACCUGUGUAUGCUGACUGUUAGUAAAACAAAUGCAGUUAUCAGCAUAGCUGUUAUGCCUCUCCUUACAGUACGUCUGAAUCUGUGGGUUAGAACAACACACCUUCCUAGGGGUGCACACCAACCCAUAAGAAGAGAUCAUUCUCCUUAUUAAGAGAUAAUGUGAAGCUGCCUGCUACAGGGAACAGAUGCAUUUUCCCCACCUUUGCUUUCAAGCAAAGCUCGCUGCCUUUCUGAGAUUCUCUCUUUCCGUUUAAUUCCAGUCCUGUUUGAAUGGUAUGGUGAACCAAAAGGGAAGCCUGAAAACAUUAUUUUCAAGAGUAAUUGAAACACAAUGGGAAGGGACUGCAGCAGUGCAUCUUUUCCUGUGUAGUAGUACUGCACCUGCCUUGACGGGACUGUAUGUAACAAAUUGGCACAGCUACCUGUCCAACUGGCAGAAGCCCUGUACAAUCUCAAGAUGACUCCUAUGUGACCAAGAGGAAUGUUCCUUAGGUGUACCUCCGCUUCCCACACAAACAUUUAGACUGACGCGUGCUCACCAAAAUCUGUCAUUUCUCAGUAUUAAAAUGAAACACUCAUGUGACCCAGGUGCAUUAAUCCCCAUGUGUAUAGAUUACACUCAACUCUUAUGGUCCUACAAUAUCUUGGAUUUUUGUGUAAAACAUAGUGAAGGAAGUAAAUAGAGGCAUUGUUCUUGGUCAUUACUGUUAAUAGUUACAGGGAGAAGAUUGUUACCAACUAAUGUGAAAUGUGGCUUAUGAGAAAUGAAUUGGGAGUUGGGGGGGAAUCUUAUUCCAUUUCUGAGCCUGCAGAUGGCAGCAUCCAAAAUUAGCUAUCACCUAAAUUGGCACAAACUGAGACCCCAAGUUGGUAGCCUCAGCAGAGAAGCCAAAGUCUAAAGCAGGCAAAGAGGCUGGAGCACCAUUGUAAUACACCUAGCCGUUGAGCUGCCACCUCUACCGAAUUUUACGGGACGGUCCCAGUUUUGAAGAGCUCGAGAAGUGAGACAGAUGGUGGGACGCUUGCGGUGCUGCUGCCCAUACUGCACCUGUUCUAACAAUGAAUAACAGACUCACAUCUCCAGGGCUGUCAGUCCAACUGCCUUCAUCGGCCCUACAUUAACUUUUGAAAAGAGGGAUUCUUAGGGUGUUUGUUGAGAAAGGGAUGUCAUCGCCUGGGUAUAAAAUGCAAUACUUUACAACUGUGGCUAAAGGCAUUUUGGGACUGAAACAGAGUGUUAAUAGUGAGAGGGGUUCAAUUAGAGCUGUGGUUUAUGUUGUAUACAUUUCUCUAUUGCUGGUUAACCGGCUGAAAAACUAUGGUUUUGCCAAAAUCAUAAGGGUUGAUGUUUCUGUCUUUAGGGUGAGCAGCAAUUUUUGCAGACAACAUUGCUUUUUCUGCAUUUGAGCCGGCACCAGACCUAUUAUAGAAGGCCCUAGCCCUGGCUUCAUAAGCCUUGACCUACAUGAAAUGUAUAUUUUAAAAAUAUAUUUAUAUAUCUACCUUGGGGAAUUCACCACUCCCUAAAUCCUGCUUUAUUCUGGCUCCUUACUCCAAUAUAAUGCCUGCUUUGAUGCAGUAUAACUCCUUACAGCCACCAUUGUUGUUGAUGGACCCAGGCAACAUAUUUUUAAAUAACUGUUUUAUUCUUGCUUUGGGUGGCAAAUUCUGACAUUUUCCUAAGGGUAAAAUUUAUGGGAAUUUUGCUGAAGUAAAAGUUUAGUUUGUGUUGACAUACAAUAAUGUAGGGCCAGAUUCUCAGCUGGUGUAAAUUGGUGUAGCCCAAUUAACUUGCCAACAGCAACUUAAAUGAGCCGAGGCUUGGCUCAAAAUGUGUGUUUAUUGCCCAUGAAAAAUGUGGGAUGUGGAAAUCAGUGAAUUUCACGAAACUUCACCCAAUAAAAACAAGGAACGGGUGCCUCAAAAGGAGGUUAGAGUUUGUGUAUUCUGAAACCAAGAAUUAUGAACUAUGCUAUGUAGUGAAUUUUUAAAUAUAAAACGUGAUGAUGACCUCAAACCUUUGAAAUAAGCUUUCCCUGUGUUCACUGUGGUUAUUUUAUGACAAGUUACACUUUUUCAUAUAAAAUUGUAUAUUGUAGUUAUUUUAAGUGUUGAACAGAAACGAUGUAACUCUUAAAGUAUAAAGUAGAACUAAUUGUACAAUUAUGAGAAUGUCAGACUCUAAGACAUACUGGUUGUAAGAUAUGGUUAAGUACACAUUAUUUAAGUUAUUAACUACAAUAAACUCAAUGGUAUGUUCA